UUUGCCACCCAUCCCGGGCUUAAAGGGAGCGCUGCGUUAGUGUCGGAGCUAUCGGGUGAAAAAAGGGGAGCUCUGCUUGAUGCUUUCCGGCGUGGCGAAG
rnacentral:tRNA from 1 species